rnacentral:rRNA from 1 species
CAGCCGCCGCGGGAAUACGAAGGGGGCUAGCGUUGCUCAGAAUGACUGGGCGUAAAGGGCGCGUAGGCGGAUGGCACAGUCAGAUGUGAAAUUCCCGGGCUUAACCUGGGGGCUGCAUUUGAUACGUGUUGUCUAGAGUGAGGAAGAGGGUCGUGGAAUUCCCAGUGUAGAGGUGAAAUUCGUAGAUAUUGGGAAGAACACCGGUGGCGAAGGCGGCGACCUGGUCCUUUACUGACGCUGAGGCGCGAAAGUGUGAGGAGCAAACAGGAUUAGAUACCCCCGUAGUCCCUGUCUCUUAUAC